rnacentral:rRNA from 1 species
GAUGAACGCUGGCGGCGUGCUUAACACAUGCAAGUCGAACGGUGAAGGCGGAGCUUGCUCUGCUGGAUCGGUGGCGAACGGGUGAGUAACACGUGAGCAAUCUGCCCCUGACUCUGGGAUAAGCGCUGGAAACGGCGUCUAAUACUGGAUACGAGCUGCGAAGGCAUCUUCAGCAGCUGGAAAGAAUUUCGGUCAGGGAUGAGCUCGCGGCCUAUCAGCUUGUUGGUGAGGUAAUGGCUCACCAAGGCGUCGACGGGUAGCCGGCCUGAGAGGGUGACCGGCCACACUGGGACUGAGACACGGCCCAGACUCCUACGGGAGGCAGCAGUGGGGAAUAUUGCACAAUGGGCGAAAGCCUGAUGCAGCAACGCCGCGUGAGGGACGACGGCCUUCGGGUUGUAAACCUCUUUUAGCAGGGAAGAAGCGAAAGUGACGGUACCUGCAGAAAAAGCGCCGGCUAACUACGUG